GGCUUAACACAUGCAAGUCGAGGGGUAUUUGGAGCUUGCUCCAGAGAGACCGGCGCACGGGUGCGUAACGCGUAUGCAAUCUACCUUUUACAGGGGGAUAGCCCAGAGAAAUUUGGAUUAAUACCCCAUGGUAUAUAAGAAUCGCAUGGUUUUUAUAUUAAAGUUCCAACGGUAAAAGAUGAGCAUGCGUCCCAUUAGUUAGUUGGUAAGGUAACGGCUUACCAAGACGAUGAUGGGUAGGGGUCCUGAGAGGGAGAUCCCCCACACUGGUACUGAGACACGGACCAGACUCCUACGGGAGGCAGCAGUGAGGAAUAUUGGUCAAUGGGCGCAAGCCUGAACCAGCCAUGCCGCGUGCAGGAUGAAGCAUCUAUGGUGUGUAAACUGCUUUUGUACGGGAAGAAACACCGGUUCGUGAACCGGCUUGACGGUACCGUAAGAAUAAGGACC
rnacentral:rRNA from 1 species